CCAUCGUCUGCAGAAUGUUUGCCUCACGGAGGAAGCAGCGCUACUGGCCAUUCUCCAUGGACUGCACCGGCACAGAGGCCCACAUCUCCAGCUGCAAGCUGGGCCCCCAGGUGUCACUGGACCCCAUGAAGAAUGUCACCUGCGAGAAUGGGCUGCCGGCCGUGGUGAGUUGUGUGCCUGGGCAGGUCUUCAGCCCUGACGGACCCUCGAGAUUCCGGAAAGCCUACAAGCCAGAGCAACCCCUGGUGCGCCUGAGAGGCGGUGCCUACAUCGGGGAGGGCCGCGUGGAGGUGCUCAAAAAUGGAGAAUGGGGGACCGUCUGCGACGACAAGUGGGACCUGGUGUCGGCCAGUGUGGUCUGCAGAGAGCUGGGCUUUGGGAGUGCCAAAGAGGCAGUCACUGGAUCCCGACUGGGGCAAGGGAUCGGACCCAUCCACCUCAACGAGAUCCAGUGCACAGGCAAUGAGAAGUCCAUUAUAGACUGCAAGUUCAAUGCCGAGUCUCAGGGCUGCAACCACGAGGAGGAUGCUGGUGUGAGAUGCAACACCCCUGCCAUGGGCUUGCAGAAAAAGGUGAUGGGACUGGACACCUAGAGGGGACUGUAACUGAGGCUGCAGAAAGUAUAGCCACAGAGCUCUGGGGUGAACCCUGGAAGUGACCAGGUGCUGCUGCUAGCACUGCUGCAGACAUUGCCACUUGGCAUUUGCAAUGUUUAGUUCCCCCUCGAACCUCAGGCCUGGCCCUGGCCUGGCAGCAGGCCCCAAGCCCCUGUGUGCAGUGUGAGCUGGAAAGGCCCUGCCUCCUUGCAUGUUAACAUCUGAGGUGAGUUACCUCACCUCUGCCCCACCACCUCCAAAGACAGGCGUGGGACCGGCUAGCCACAACCUUAUCAAAACACGGUGCAGCCUGGCUGUGCUCUGCUGGCUGGAGGCGUUCUGUUUCCUCUAUUCAUGUUCAGAAAAAAAC
rnacentral:sRNA from 1 species